CUGGUGAGACAGCAUGGGAAGAAAUAACACAUGGGCUUUUGUGCAGCUGGAUAUAAUGAAGCCAUGCUCUGACGCCUCCUGCCUGGUUGGCGAUAAUCCCUAAUGCAAAGGGAUCGUGUGAAGGUAACCAACCCCUGCCUACAUUUUACUCUGGAUUCCAAGAGUAGACUGGGCUUCAGGGACCAGAUGCCAGGGCUGGCACAUCUGCCUAAAACCCAUAAUUCUUGAACUUGACGUGCUCAGCCUCUCCAAAGCCGCGGCGCUGACACAGCUCCCCCUGCACGAGUGUACAGCAGUCAGACAGGAACGGGGAGAGGGGGCUCAACUUUCUGACGGCCACUUAGAGGCUGCCUGACCACAAAGACAGGACUGUAAAACAUAGACCGCAUGUGACCUGCUGGUGCUCGGCACUGACCCAGGGGAGGAGGGCCACUUGGGCUGGAAUGCAGUUGCUGGGGGCUCAUGAGGGGCUCAGUGGUGCCCCUGGCCACCGAGUCAAGCAGCGUAGAUUGAUCAGAGGAGCUGAGAGCUGAGGCCCACCCUCCCCUUUCUCCUACACAUGGACACCUCUGAGUGGAAUAAGGGAAGACUGUCCUUUCUCCAAGCUUGAAGGAAGAUGACUGUGACUCUUUUCCUGGACUUCAAGGCAUCGAAGUGUCAGCUGGCUGCCAUCCCAGCGUCUGACAGGGCAGCAGGAGAAAGAGGCCACCUGUAUCAUCCACCCGUGCUGCAGCUGAAUGGGAUCGGUGCAGCAUGAUAGAGGCCAGCUGCCCCGCACCAGGUCUGCGUGUCACAGGGCAGAGUGCAUGGUCUCCCUUCACGUGCGGGGCCAGGUGACUGCACAGAGUGAUGAGCUGGGCCCACUUUCCUGCUAUUGGCCGCCAGCAAAGAAUACAAGGGGUUUCCCUUCCCUUCCCUUCCCUUCCCUUCCCUUCCCUUCCCUAUCGACAGCCUUGCAGGGUGGUGGUUUCCUUUGCCCGGAGAGUUCAGAGGCCUUAGUUCUGGAAAGCCUCCUGUGGGGAGAUGGAGUGGCGGGGAUAGGGACCAGAGCAGAGAGGGCAGCAGCAUAAACAAAGAGGAGAGGCAAACUGUUUGAGCCCAGGAGUUUGAGACCAGCCUGGGCAACAUGGUGAAACCCUGUCUCUAUAAAAAAUAUAAAACUUAGCUGGGUGUGGUGGCACAUGCCUAUGGUCCCAGGUAUCUGGAGCAUGGGGUGGUGGUGGGGUGGUGGGAGGAUCAUCUGAGCCUGGGGAGGUCGAGGCCACAGUAAGCUAGGAUUGUAUCACUGCACUCCAGCCUUGGCAACAGAGAGAGAUCUUAUCUCAGAACAAAACAAAAAAAUUGGAGAAGGGAUUUCUCUGAUUUCUCCCUUUGGGAAGGGAGGCUUGGAGGCUGCCUGGGGCUGAGCAGGGAGCACCAUGCUUGUAGGCCUUUGGGGAGGUUUCGAGGUCCAAGUGUGACUUAGAGGAACUGGGAGAUGCCAGCAGACACUGAGACCCAAAGGGGCCUGGCUUGGGACCUAUGCAGCUGUGGGAGGGGAAAGGCCCUCCCCGCUACCAGAUGCAGACUCUGGUGCCCUGAAGCCUGGCGUCUGAGCCAGAUCUGACUUUGUGUAGAAGCAUAAAAGGAGUAGGAUGUUUGUGAUGGCUGAGCGUCAUGGAGGAAUUCAUACCUGUUCCUGGAGCAAUCUAUUUUUAACCUUGUUAACCUGAACUGUACUUUAAGAUUGAAACUAAAUGCAGCCUCUUUUCUACCCAUGAUUUAUUAGACCUCCCCUUUCUAUCAAAUUAAAGCUCUGCACAAACGAAACAAUUCAUCCUCAUCUAAUUUAUAACCAUCCUCCCACACUAGGAAUAUGGAGCCAGGAAUGAGGGAGGUUCACGUGGGAGGUGGCAACUGCAGAACAGACAGCUCUUUGGAUUUCUUUAAAUUGCCAUUUAAUUCCAUCCAUCAACCCAUUUUUCUGCUGUAUACAUAGAAAAGGACAACAGCCACUCCCUCAACCAAAUAUCCCUACAUUCAGUUAAAAGCUACUCUGUACCCCAGGACAUGGGAGCAGCUCCUAUCCUUCCCAGGUGAAAAAGUGGGCUUUUUUUCCCCCUUAAGGCUAAAUAGGAUUUCUUUUCUGUUAGCUAUGGGUAGGUGACUUCUUAAUGAUCUUUAAGGAAAGAAGUCAAUACAAGGAAAAUAUCCUUUUUUAAUCCCAUUUUCCUUCUCACCCCACACUGAGCGUUACUAUAGCAACAUCUUUCCUGCUACUAGGACAGUUAAGUCCCCCUGUGAAGUUAACCGAAAGCUGCUUUUUCACUCAGAGAAUGGGCUGCUGUUCAUUGACCAGCUUUUCCUGCGUGUCUAAAUUCUUCGGUUCUCUCUGACAUGCUCAAUCUAGGGUUUCCCGCGGCUAAACCCUAAAAUUCACUUCGAAACUCCUAACAGCAGAAUUCCCCAAACCUUUUCAGAACUGAACUCAUUAGAAAUGAAUUUACAUUUUGAUUUAGUUAUAAAUAACUUUUCUUCUGUGUAUUGGUUUAAGUUUAGAAAAGGCCCCCUGUAAAGAAGACAAGUUGGAGAAUAAUCUCCCAUAUUCCUCUGCCAUCCUUUCUUUCCUUCCUUUCCUUGAGAUGGAGUCUCUCUCUGUCGCCCAGGCUGGAGUGCAGUGGAGUGAUCUCAGCUCACUGCAACCUCCGCCUCCCGGGUUCAAGCGAUGCUCCUGCCUCAGCCUCCCGAGUAGCUGGGACUACAGGCAUGCACCACCAUGCCUGGCUAAUUUUUUGUAUUUUUAGUAGACACAGCGUUUCACCGUGUAAGCUAGGAUGGUCUCGAUCUCCUGACCUCAUGAUCAGCCCGCCUCGGCCUCCCAAUGUGCUGGGAUUACAGGUAUGAGCCACCGUGGCUGGCCUCCUUUUUCUUUUAAACACAUACAUACAUAUAUGUAAAAACAAAAGAAAAUUUCAGGACCUUCCAAAUUUCACAGGCCUAGAGGAAAGUUAAGCCCUGGAAAUGGAGUUGUGAGAGCAGGCUGUUUUUUCUCUCUGGUGCGUGACCACUGCUUCCUGAUUUUUGUGUUGAGAUCUUAGACCUUAACCAGACUUAUAGCCUUCAUUCAAACCAGACUGAAUGAUGUGGGAGGUAGGGACCUUGGUCAUUGUUAUCUCUUUAUAAUAAAAUGCUAAGCAACCCCCUUAGAGUGAAGUCAACAGUAGCCAAUCAAAUCUUACAUCUGUGUGUUAGCCGUUGUAUGGAAAACACCGUGAUUCUGUUCAGCGCCUCCCUUUUGCCUCCAUAAAAGAUCUUCACUUUUCCCCACACCGUAAUAUUUCACUGGAUUCUUGGAAUAUCAGAAAUUCAUCAUUCUUUGGUGUCUGCGUAUCUCUGAAUGGCCACUCCCAUGCAGCCCUUGAAUGAAUUACUUAACUGGAUCCUAAGCAUUUUGAUUAUUUUAGAUGGACAUAUACACAUGCAUAUACACGUAUGUGUACAUACACAUAUGUAAUGAAAUUGUUCCAAAACACAGAAAAUACAAAGACUAAUGUAAUCAGGACUCACAUAUCCACAUCUUAGAUUUAAUGCUGAUUUCGGGGGGCAUUUUUGCUUCAAAUUUGUAAAAAGCAAAGGUUACAGACAUAAAGAUCUUGCGAUUCUCUUAUCCCAGUUUCUUCCGUCUUUCUUCUCUUCUUUCUCUUUCUCUGUCCCCCGAGGUAGCAUCUAUGCUGACGUUCCCGUAUAUCUUUUCCAUCCAAAUAUUUGCAUUUUUGCUACACAUUACGUGCAAGGCUUUUAUCUGCUUCCUCCUAAUUUGUGGGGGCAAGAGGCUAGACAUCUCUGGCUGGAAAGGCACUCCCUGCAGAUCUGGGAAGCCAUGAGCCACAGGAGCAUUAGCUGUUCCUCUACCCUUUCGUUUCUUUGCUGGACAAUCCUUAUAAGCUGGAGUCCAAGUUAACCUUCCCAAAUGAGUGGCACUAUUAUUUUAAAAUAAAAGCGUUCAAGGUAGAGGAUGACUUUGGGACUCUGGCAACACAGGAAGCCCAGUGUGUUCUCCCCAAGGUCACAUUAAAAAGGUGGUGCAUCUGAGAUGGUGACUGCUCAGAAUAAAGUGAUAAGGGGACAAAAGGUGGAUGGCUUACUUACAGGUGUUAUGAAUGAGACCAUCAGGGCUCGGGUAAGAACAUUGUCUGGGAUAAAUGGUUUGUGGUUAUUGAUCUGGACCAACCUGAUAGAAAAGAAGCUGUGUGUAUUAUUAUUACAAUUUCUUGGUUUAUGCUUGCAAUUUAUAAUUUGUAUGCUCAGUCAAUUCUGCCAAUAUAAAAUAGUAAUGCCCCGGUUUCAAAAUCUGAUAUUGGAUUUUGUCCCACGAUUUAGCAUGUCCUCUAAGCAAAAUAACUGUCCAACCAGAUCACUUGCCUUCAACAACUUAAAACACAAGUAACUAGGGAGAAAAACAAACAAAGAAACAUAAACUCAAAGAAGGUUUCAAGAUUGACAUAGAGAAAAAUCUUUUCUCAUCUAUCCGUAUGUACUCUCCCACUGCUCAUCGUGGGCCCCAGGGAAAGGCGAUUUUAUUCAAAGAAGGUAACUCUGAACGUACUCAGGGCCGUAAUAUGUGAAAUGUCUCCCAGUGUUUGACAAAAAGACUCUCUUUUCAUGUUCAUAUUCCAUGGAAAUCUUAAGUCAAAGCAACAAUAAAAUAAGCUGACCCAUAAGUGCACGUGUUGAAGAGGCUCAGCCAAGAAAAACUGUUUGGUAGUUGCUGAAAACUGGCAUCUAGACCUCAAAGAGGAAAUCAGAACCAAAGUGCAGACUUGUCCCACCAGAGAUGGUGGGUGUUGGACUGAGUCAGCGACAGUGAGGCACUGACUAGACUUCCGUAACCAGCCAUACUUUCUAGUUUAUAAUGACAUUCAUGGUUAUUGUUCUACACAGACAGGUGUAGGGAAGCAAUGGGAAAGUGCAGGAAAACAGAAGCAUUGGGAAUGGAACAUCUUUGGUUUCUCCAUUUCAAUGCACUGCCAUGACCCCCACACCCACCCACGAGACUUUAGCUGUUCCAGAGCCAACGGUGCCUGCCUCUUUGCUGAUCCAUUACUCAUUCUCCCUACAGCUGCCUCAUAGCUUUGGCUCCCAAGAGGUAAGGUACAGGUAGUCUGGCUGCCUGCAUUAUCCUCCAGCCUCAAAAUACAUGGGGAACUGAAAAUAAACAAACUGUUGAUUCCUUGAGCUUAAGAAGGCCUCUUGGUGUUCCUUUAUACCUUUUCGAGUCUCUCCUAAGAUCAGAG
rnacentral:lncRNA from 1 species